rnacentral:rRNA from 1 species
UUUAUGGAGAGUUUGAUCCUGGCUCAGGAUGAACGCUGGCGGCGUGCCUAAUACAUGCAAGUCGAGCGAACGGACGAGAAGCUUGCUUCUCUGAUGUUAGCGGCGGACGGGUGAGUAACACGUGGAUAACCUACCUAUAAGACUGGGAUAACUUCGGGAAACCGGAGCUAAUACCGGAUAAUAUUUUGAACCGCAUGGUUCAAAAGUGAAAGACGGUCUUGCUGUCACUUAUAGAUGGAUCCGCGCUGCAUUAGCUAGUUGGUAAGGUAACGGCUUACCAAGGCAACGAUGCAUAGCCGACCUGAGAGGGUGAUCGGCCACACUGGAACUGAGACACGGUCCAGACUCCUACGGGAGGCAGCAGUAGGGAAUCUUCCGCAAUGGGCGAAAGCCUGACGGAGCAACGCCGCGUGAGUGAUGAAGGUCUUCGGAUCGUAAAACUCUGUUAUUAGGGAAGAACAUAUGUGUAAGUAACUGUGCACAUCUUGACGGUACCUAAUCAGAAAGCCACGGCUAACUACGUGCCAGCAGCCGCGGUAAUACGUAGGUGGCAAGCGUUAUCCGGAAUUAUUGGGCGUAAAGCGCGCGUAGGCGGUUUUUUAAGUCUGAUGUGAAAGCCCACGGCUCAACCGUGGAGGGUCAUUGGAAACUGGAAAACUUGAGUGCAGAAGAGGAAAGUGGAAUUCCAUGUGUAGCGGUGAAAUGCGCAGAGAUAUGGAGGAACACCAGUGGCGAAGGCGACUUUCUGGUCUGUAACUGACGCUGAUGUGCGAAAGCGUGGGGAUCAAACAGGAUUAGAUACCCUGGUAGUCCACGCCGUAAACGAUGAGUGCUAAGUGUUAGGGGGUUUCCGCCCCUUAGUGCUGCAGCUAACGCAUUAAGCACUCCGCCUGGGGAGUACGACCGCAAGGUUGAAACUCAAAGGAAUUGACGGGGACCCGCACAAGCGGUGGAGCAUGUGGUUUAAUUCGAAGCAACGCGAAGAA